AUUGAACGCUGGCGGCAGGCCUAACACAUGCAAGUCGAGCGAGCGGCGGACGGGGGAGUAAUGUCUGGGAAACUGCCUGAUGGAGGGGGAUAACUACUGGAAACGGUAGCUAAUACCGCAUACCAUCAGAUGUGCCCAGAUGGGAUUAGCUAGUAGGUGGGGUAACGGCUCACGUAGGCGACGAUCCCUAGCGGGUCUGAGCGGAUGACCAGCCACCCUGGAACUUGGACACGGGCCAGACUCCUCCGGGAGGCAGCUGUGGGGAAUAUUGCACACUGGGCGCAAGCCUGAUGCAGCUCUGCCGCGUGUGUGAAGAAGGCCUUCGGGUUGUAAAGCACUUUCAGCGGGGAGGCGUUACCCGCAGAAGAAGCACCGGCUAACUCCGUGCCAGCAGCCGCGUUAAUUC
rnacentral:rRNA from 1 species